UGGGGAAUAUUGCACAAUGGACGGAAGUCUGAUGCAGCGACGCCGCGUGGGGGAUGAAGGCUUUCGGGUUGUAAACUCCUUUUGAUGCUGAACAAGGCUCUUUUUAGGGUUGAGGGUAGGUGUUGAAUAAGCGCCGGCUAACUACGUGCCAGCAGCCGCGGUAAUACGUAGGGCGCGAGCGUUGUCCGGAAUUAUUGGGCGUAAAGGGCACGUAGGCGGUUUGUCGCGUCUGCUGUGAAAGACCGGGGCUUAACUCCGGGGUUGCAGUGGGUACGGGCAGACUAGAGUGCGGUAGGGGUAGCUGGAAUUCCUGGUGUAGCGGUGGAAUGCGCAGAUAUCAGGAGGAACACCGAUGGCGAAGGCAGGUUACUGGGCCGUUACUGACGCUGAGGAGCGAAAGCAUGGGGAGCGAACAGG
rnacentral:rRNA from 1 species